rnacentral:misc_RNA from 1 species
GAUGAAGAACGCAGCGAAAUGCGAUAAGUAAUGUGAAUUGCAGAAUUCAGUGAAUCAUCGAAUCUUUGAACGCACAUUGCGCCCGCCAGUAUUCUGGCGGGCAUGCCUGUCUGAGCGUCAUUUCAACCCUCAUGCCCCUAGGGCGUGGUGUUGGGGAUCGGCCAAAGCCCGCGAGGGACGGCCGGCCCCUAAAUCUAGUGGCGGACCCGUCGUGGCCUCCUCUGCGAAGUAGUGAUAUUCCGCAUCGGAGAGCGACAGCCCCUGCCGUUAAACCCCCAACUUUCCAAGGUUGACCUCAGAUCAGGUAGGAAUACCCGCUGAACUUAAGCAUAUCAAUAAGCGGAGGA